rnacentral:lncRNA from 1 species
GGGUGGAGAGGAGAAUGCUUUCCAGAAAGAAGGGAUUCCUGAGCAGAGAAUCAGCUGGGAGAAGGCGAGGGAAAGAGAAACAGCGUGUGGGUGGCAAAAGUUGAGGUUUUAGUUAGAACAGGAAAAUUUGGCCAAGUAAACAGGGACCCAGUGAGGAAGAGCUCUUUGUACUUUGGAUAAAGUUACUCUUACCGUGCUGGGGAGCUGCCCACGAGGACCGAAGCAAGGAAGAGGGUCACACGCAUGCUAGGGAGGUGACCCCAGCUGAGGAUGGAGCUGGAGAUGACCCGUCUCGGUGGCGUCUGUCCAGGGCAAGAACAGCUAAGAAAACAUUUGAAGAUGGACGAAGAGGAAUUUUGC